rnacentral:lncRNA from 1 species
GCCCCACGAGAAAUCGUUAAAAUGUAUACAUUAUCAACUGAUUUACCAUAGACAGUAUGUGUAAAGUGAUAUUCAAAAAGCGGUCACAAUCUUAAAACCAAUCCGAAAUGUUCAAAAUUUACUGUGUGUUGUUUUCAUAUCCAAAGCAUUGAUUUGAGACAAAAAUAAAAAAAACAUUUUUUUGCAUUUUUUGAGAUUUCAAAAAAC